AUCUGACACGCUCCCACGGUAGCCAGUCUGGCUCCGACGUUCGGGCGUGGCUCGAUGAC
rfam:Thauera linaloolentis 47Lol = DSM 12138 Cont54, whole genome shotgun sequence.